AACUAAAAACGAAUGGGGGUGGACCUGUCUGUUGGAUAGGGGUGUGGUUUUCUCUAGAUGGGGGAAAACCAGAGGUUGGGGUGGAAGUGACUAGGAAUGAAGACUGCUUCCAGCACGUGGUUGAAAGGGAGGUUGGCAGGGAGGGUUAAGGCAGAAAAUGAGAACAGCAGAGAGUGAAGACAGAAAUUACUGCGGGAACUCCAGCCCUCUUCUCCCACAGAGGGAGGAAGGAGAGUCAGGGUCUGGAGGGCUCUGCAUGUCCAGUAAGCAAUCAAGUCUGCUGUCCUGGAAACUGGGGGAACUCGUUGGAGAAAAAGAAUUAUUUGAACCGAUUGUGAGAAAUUGAACAGCGGCAGGAGGAGAAGGAGAGAAGAAAGGAGCGGACACAUCCAACCAGGCGGCUGGGGCACUGUGCAUACAGAUGGAGGUGGUGGCUGGGUCCCUGUUGCGGCUCAUUACUGAGAAGCACAUCAGAGGCCACUGGGUGAGGGUCAGGGAGAACCUGGCUGCCGCGCUGAGCUUUGAACAGGGCUGGUCUGCAGAAGGAACCCCACCCUCGGGCCACCUAAGUUCUGUGGCUGCGGAACCAAUUCCGUUUUCAGAAAGGCAGAUCGCCUUUGGCGCAGUCACCUAGAGCUCUCGUUUCCUUCUUGUCACCUAUUUCAGUGCUGCUCUCCAACCCCAGGAUCUUAAGGAAAAUUCCCCCCACGCGGGGCGGUGGGCGUGGGGGCGUGGGGGCUGGGAGGCUGGCGCAGGGGGAGUGGGCGUGGUGAGCGCCCCCAUCUGGUGAUGGGGAAGGUAGUCUCAUAUAGCAACAGAUCUGAGCAGAGAGGAAAAGACACAAAAGCUGUGUUUUCUGCCUUGGAAAGAGACAGUUAGCAUUUGGUCUGCUUUUUGGAGUGGCUUCCGUGGAAUGAUGUGAAUGGCACGGUGGAGCUCCGAAGGGCCAGGAGGGGUCUUGGAUCCAGUACUUCCCAAGGGCAGGCUUUGUAGAUUUCCCUGCCUUUCUUCCUCCUUUUCCUCCCCUGCCCUGUGCAGCCCUCUCCCCAUUUAUUACAGGGUGUCUUGGCAGCAUUUUCCAUGAACCUGCAGCUGCACUUGGGCUGAUCAGUACAUGCGUGGGAAAUUGUGGGACUGGGUGGUGUAAAGGGUCUGGGUCCCCUGGAAGGUUCAGGUGUCCCUCAGAAGCAGUCAGAGCCCACCAAAGGAGUGUCUAUUCUAAGGGUUGGGGUUGUCUGGUUCCGCUAACUACCAACUGUGGCUAAGCUCCCACGAUGACUGUGGUGGGUGGAAAUGCCGAAGGGGCAGCAUGUCUGAUUGCUGGUAACCUAUGGAUAGCGGGAGCUGUGGUUCCUAUACAGCCCUGGUUUAUAAAUAAAUGAACAUUCAUUAAUGCAAAAUGAAAUCAGAAUGAUAUUUCCCAUCCAAUUUUGUUUAGAAGGCAGAAAUAAAUGUGUUGACGGUGGAAUUUUGCUGUGGAUGCUGAGCGUAGAGUCACAAGAUGAUAGUAAUAAUAGUGAUUUGCUGGUGCCUGUCCCCUGAUCUCAAGGCACAUAUUACCACCUUGCAUUUGCAAAGGCUCAUUGAGGUUAGAGGGCUAGCUGGAAGUUACAUAGCAAGGGAUUGAGUGCAGAAGUCUCACAACUCUCUGGCCCAUUAGACCUCGAGCUUGCCCGUACACAGAAAGUAGACCAACAAGGGUUCAGGAGACCUGAAUUCUGGUCCUUGCUCUGCCGCUGGCUGGUGUGUGUGGGCAGAAAAUGCCAUCUUUUCUCAGCGGCACAGAUCUUCCAGUUCCGUGGGUCUGACUUCAUAUUUGAACGUAGAAUUUAUCAAAGGCACACGUUUUGCUCCUG